UGAGCAGCUGCCUAGUUACAAAUGACACACCUGGUAGCUGGGGAAGAAGGUGUUCUGCUGUGCCUGUUGCUCUGGGAGCUGAUGGGAUCAUGCACUGCUGGGGAAGGAGGAACAAAGCUAUCAGGUCACCUGUCUGCUUGCGGAUGAUGCUAACAAGCACCGACGUGGGCUGCUUGGACAUCCAGACACGGCUCCAGGGCUGCUGCGGUCUGCAAAUCCACCCAAGAGACUCAGGAAAUUUUGCCAGAUGGAACUCUCAGAAAAACCAGCAGUUGUGGACAAGGGGCCUUCAGGCCUGAGUUGAGGUCUGCUCCUUUUACCAAGGCUAGUCUACAUGCUACACUUUGGAAACCAUUGCAGAAAGUCAAACAAAAUAUAUCUCGAUGUUUACUCUAUGGUGAAGAGGAGCUCCAGAAUCUAGCAAAAAGCUGUAUCAACAGAAGGUGCAAAAGUACAUUUCAAGCUCACAAUGUCACAAAAAGGUUAAAGAUCAUGUUUUACUUGUGCCAAACCAGAAAGCCCCAGUUUCAGGACAGUCCAUAUGGCAGAGCUGGCUGGGACAUGAAAAGCCUG
rnacentral:lncRNA from 1 species